UCUCUGAUGUUAGCGGCGGACGGGUGAGUAACACGUGGAUAACCUACCUAUAAGACUGGGAUAACUUCGGGAAACCGGAGCUAAUACCGGAUAAUAUUUUGAACCGCAUGGUUCAAAAGUGAAAGACGGUCUUGCUGUCACUUAUAGAUGGAUCCGCGCUGCAUUAGCUAGUUGGUAAGGUAACGGCUUACCAAGGCAACGAUGCAUAGCCGACCUGAGAGGGUGAUCGGCCACACUGGAACUGAGACACGGUCCAGACUCCUACGGGAGGCAGCAGUAGGGAAUCUUCCGCAAUGGGCGAAAGCCUGACGGAGCAACGCCGCGUGAGUGAUGAAGGUCUUCGGAUCGUAAAACUCUGUUAUUAGGGAAGAACAUAUGUGUAAGUAACUGUGCACAUCUUGACGGUACCUAAUCAGAAAGCCACGGCUAACUACGUGCCAGCAGCCGCGGUAAUACGUAGGUGGCAAGCGUUAUCCGGAAUUAUUGGGCGUAAAGCGCGCGUAGGCGGUUUUUUAAGUCUGAUGUGAAAGCCCACGGCUCAACCGUGGAGGGUCAUUGGAAACUGGAAAACUUGAGUGCAGAAGCCGCGCAAAGUGGAAUUCCAUGUGUAGCGGUGAAAUGCGCAGAGAUAUGGAGGAACACCAGUGGCGAAGGCGACUUUCUGGUCUGUAACUGACGCUGAUGUGCGAAAGCGUGGGGAUCAACAGGAUUAGAUACCCUGGUAGUCCACGCCGUAAACGAUGCCCCUAAGUGUUAGGGGUUUCCGCCCCGUAGUG
rnacentral:rRNA from 1 species